rnacentral:rRNA from 1 species
GCUACGGGGGGCAGCAGUGAGGAAUAUUGGUCAAUGGGCGAGAGCCUGAACCAGCAAAGUCGCGUGAGGGAGUACUGCCCUAUGGGUUGUAAACUUCUUUUGUCAGGGACGAAGCAAGUGACGGUACCUGACGAAUAAGCCACGGCGAACUACGUGCCAGCAGCCGCGGUAAUACGUAGGUGGCAAGCGUGAUCCGGAUUUACUGGGUGUAAAGGGCGUGUAGGCGGGACUGCAAGUCAGAUGUGAAAACCACGGGCUCAACCUGUGGCCUGCAUUUGAAACUGUAGUUCUUGAGUACUGGAGAGGCAGACGGAAUGCCUAGUGUAGCGGGUAAAUGCGUAGAUAUUAGGAGGCACACCAGUGGCGAAGGCGGUCUGCUGGACAGCAACUGACGCUGAGGCGCGAAAGCGUGGGGAGCAAACAGGAUUAGAUACCCUGGUAGUC